GAUGAACGCUAGCUACAGGCUUAACACAUGCAAGUCGAGGGGCAGCAUGGUCUUAGCUUGCUAAGGCCGAUGGCGACCGGCGCACGGGUGAGUAACACGUAUCCAACCUGCCGUCUACUCUUGGACAGCCUUCUGAAAGGAAGAUUAAUACAAGAUGGCAUCAUGAGUCCGCAUGUUCACAUGAUUAAAGGUAUUCCGGUAGACGAUGGGGAUGCGUUCCAUUAGAUAGUAGGCGGGGUAACGGCCCACCUAGUCUUCGAUGGAUAGGGGUUCUGAGAGGAAGGUCCCCCACAUUGGAACUGAGACACGGUCCAAACUCCUACGGGAGGCAGCAGUGAGGAAUAUUGGUCAAUGGGCGCAGGCCUGAACCAGCCAAGUAGCGUGAAGGACGACUGCCCUAUGGGUUGUAAACUUCUUUUAUAAAGGAAUAAAGUCGGGUAUGUAUACCCGUUUGCAUGUACUUUAUGAAUAAGGAUCGGCUAACUCCGUG
rnacentral:rRNA from 1 species